GCCUGGUUAAAUGGGUCUUCUGAGAGCUGGAAUAGGGACACAUAGCACAUUGAUAGGGUCGCUCUCCCGUGUGAGUUCUAAUAUGCUGAAUAUAGUUGUUUUUCCUGUCUGAAAAAUAGGAGCACUGCGAGCAGGUGUAUACUUUCCUGGGAAAAUGGUUUCUCAGGUGCUUCUUCCAGUGAUACUCGCUGACGGUGGUGUAAGUGCAUAUGGUACACUUGUACACUCUCUCAUUUUCUCCCGCCUUGUU
rnacentral:lncRNA from 1 species